AUGGUGAGCUCUGUGAAGCCGGAAGUCAGCAAGUCAACACUGUGGAUAACGUUCGGUGGAGGGACCAAGCUGGAGAUCAAACGGAGUGUGGCUCAACCAUCUGCCUUCAUCUUCCAACCAUCUGAAGAACAACUGAAAACAGGCUCAGCCUCAGUGGUAUGCCUUGUGAACAACUUCUACCCCAAAACAGCCACAGUCCAGUGGAAGAUCGAUGACGUGACCAAAAGCUCAGGGGUCUCCACCAGCUUCACAGAACAGGACAGCAAGGACAAUACAUACAGCCUGAGCAGCACCCUGGCCCUCACCAAGGACGAAUACAAUGCUCAUGACAAGUUCAGCUGUGAGAUCACUCACCCAAGCCUGUCCUCUGCCCUAGUGAAGUCCUUCCGGAGGAGCCAGUGUUCUGAGUGAGGUGGGCAACACGGGCCCACAGAAGGGAACCUCCCCCACCCCCACCCUCUCUUCUUGCUCUCAUGUUUCAAUGCCCCUUUUCUCGGCCUGGUGAUAAAAGGUCAUUCUCCUGUUCAAAGGCCUAUGGUCUCACCAAAGAUCCACCCACCGUGGCCUUAUCCAUUCUUGUCUUCAUCUUUGCCUGCUUUCAUCAUGUCUAUAUUUGAAAUAAAAAAAAAAAACAAAUAAAGUCAAUGAAAUGGUCCCGGUA